rnacentral:ncRNA from 2 species
CACGAACACUGGGGGAGCAUUUCAUUAGCUGAGAAGAACUUUAUUAGUUCUGACCCUUUUCACCCGAAAUGGAUAAUACUAGCGUGGGGAAGUGUAGUCAAACGUGU